GGAAGGGUCAGCAAGGAGCUGGAAGGUAAAGCAGCACAAAGGUAAAGUAGAAGGAGCAGAAAGGGUCAGAAAUGAGCUGGAAGGGGCAGAAGGAGCACAAACAUAAAGUAGGAGAAUGAGCAGGAAGGGCCUGCAAGGAGCAGGAAUGAGCACAAAGGGACAGCAAGGAGCACAAAGGUAAAGGAGCAGAAAGAAUCAGAAGGAGCACAAAGGUAAAGUAGGAGAAAGAGCAGAAAGGGACAGCAAGGAGCACAAAGGUAAAUUAGAAAAGGAAGCAGAAAGGGUCUGCAAGGAGCAGAAAGGGAUCAGAAUGAGAAAGGAGCAGAAGGGCGCAAAAUAAGCAGAAAGUAGCAGAAAGGUAAAAG